UCGGGCCUGCUCGGUGAUAAGUUUUUAACAGCUGCGGUAUUUUAACUGUACUAAGGUAGCAUAAUAAUUUGCCUUAUAAUUUGAGGCUAGAAUGAAUGGUUUGACGAAGGUUAAUCUGUCUCCAUCUUAUUUUUUAGAAUUUAAUUUUUAAAGUGAAAAAGCUUAAAUUUUUUAAAGGGACGAGAAGACCCUAAUGAGCUUAUAAUUUUAUUAUCAUUAUUUAAAACAUUUAGGUGGUGGUAUAUAAAUUUUAAUUGGGGUGAUUAAGGAAUAAAUUGUGUAUAGUAACUUCCUUAAACUAGGUAUUUGUAGAUAAAGUAACCAAUAUAAUAUUGCUUAUAAUAUAGUUACCAUAGGGAUAACAGCGUAAUUUGUUUAGAGAGUUCUUAUUGAAAAAC
rnacentral:rRNA from 1 species